rnacentral:lncRNA from 1 species
UUGCGAGGCCGUCUGAUUGUGAUUCUGAAUUGGUUUUAUUUUGGUGAUUUUGAUCGGGCGAGGUAUUAGGUAUGGUUUUCGGUUAUGCAUUAACAAGUGGUUUAUUAUCAUGGGUUUUGCGUUUGGAUUGUGUUUUCUCUUGCCAGGGUUUGGUAAUCGACUGAUUUGAUUUUUGCUCCACCUGGUUUGAACAUGAUUCUUUGUAGAAGAAAGAGCUUCGAAUUUGAGUAUGUUCUCCCCUCGUUGUCAUAAUUGUGUUUAUAUGACUAUUUGUUGUUCAGAUAAGAUGUUUUGGCUAAUGAUUCUAAGCAGAGUGUCUGGUAAAGUUUCUUUCGAUUUACAUAUACGAGUCUCUCCACCAGGUUCUCCUUAUGAUAUAUAUGCGCACAAUUUGAUAUUCGUUGACCUUCGACCGUUGCUUUUGACUGUGUUGUGGUAAUAAAGUAGGAACUCAGCUCUGAAACACCUCUCAGUUCCGGAUAUUGUUCAAUCUUGCUUUCGACCGUUGCUUUGGACCUCCUUAUUUCUCUAACUUUAAAUCACAAUUUCUUUUACUGCGUCUUUGAAAUCCCUUUGCUGUUUUACAGCUUUAUUUUGGUGGUGAUCCUACUAUUUGGUACUUUCUGUUUUGUGGUUUUAGGAAAUGUUUCAUCUUUAUUUUAUGGAGCUAAGCUAACUGUGCAACUACAACGAUUGAUCUCAUUUUACUA